UAGGGAAUCUUCGGCAAUGGGGGGAACCCUGACCGAGCAACGCCGCGUGAGUGAAGAAGGUUUUCGGAUCGUAAAGCUCUGUUGUUAAGGAAGAACGAGUGUGAGAAUGGAAAGUUCAUGCUGUGACGGUACUUAACCAGAAAGGGACGGCUAACUACGUGCCAGCAGCCGCGGUAAUACGUAGGUGGCAAGCGUUGUCCGGAUUUAUUGGGCGUAAAGCGAGCGCAGGCGGUCAAUUAAGUCUGAUGUGAAAGCCCCCGGCUCAACCGGGGAGGGUGAUUGGAAACUGGUUGACUUGAGUGCAGAAGAGGAGAGUGGAAUUCCAUGUGUAGCGGUGAAAUGCGUAGAUAUAUGGAGGAACACCAGUGGCGAAGGCGACUCUCUGGUCUGUAACUGACGCUGGGGCUCGAAAGCGUGGGUAGCAAACAGG
rnacentral:rRNA from 1 species